rnacentral:misc_RNA from 1 species
AUUUAUUUAUUUUGGUUCAUUGGAUAUGUUAUUAAAGAGAGUAGCUCUGCCUCUUUCCAUAGUCUAAGUUCCGACAAAAUUGUUGGUGAACAUAUUAUAAGCUAUAAGAAAGCAAUAGAAGGAGUGAGGUAUUUAAUUAGUUAUAUCUGGUGAAAGUGCAAAUUUGUGAUGGAACUGCUGCACUCUUGUGUUAAGGCUUCUGAGAUUGAAGGGGUGUUUGUCAUCAUUUACUAGUUACUGCUUUAAAUAAAAGAUUGACUCCGAAUUGCUGAGUUUUUGGUUUGAUUGCUUUUGUUGUUGUUUGUUCACUAUAAAGAAUUUAGGCUUUAACAAUAUUUUUUUAACAUUAUUUUGUACAUCAUGUUAAAAUAAUAAAUAACAUUAAGGUAAGAUAACAUA